UACGGAGGGUGCAAACGUUGCUCGGAAUCAUUGGGCGUAAAGCGCACGUAGGCGGCCUGAUAAGUCGGGUGUGAAAGCCCUGGGCUCAACCCAGGAAGUGCGCCCGAAACUGCAGAGCUUGAGUACCGGAGAGGGUGGCGGAAUUCCCCAAGUAGAGGUGAAAUUCGUAGAUAUGGGGAGGAACACCGGUGGCGAAGGCGGCCACCUGGACGGUCACUGACGCUGAGACGCGAAAGCGUGGGGAGCAAACAGG
rnacentral:rRNA from 1 species